rnacentral:rRNA from 1 species
UGGGGAAUAUUGCACAAUGGGGGAAACCCUGAUGCAGCGACGCCGCGUGAGCGAAGAAGGCUUUCGAGUCGUAAAGCUCUGUCCUAUGAGAAGAUAAUGACGGUAUCAUAGGAGGAAGCCCUGGCUAAAUACGUGCCAGCAGCCGCGGUAAUACGUAUGGGGCGAGCGUUGUCCGGAAUUAUUGGGCGUAAAGGGUACGUAGGUGGUUUUUUAAGUCAGGUGUCAAAGCGUGGAGCUUAACUCCAUUAAGCACUUGAAACUGAAAGACUUGAGUGAAGGAGAGGAAAGUGGAAUUCCUAGUGUAGCGGUGAAAUGCGUAGAUAUCAGGAGGAACACCGGUGGCGAAGGCGGGUCUCUGGGCUGUUACUGACGCUGAGGAGCGAAAGCGUGGGGAGCGAACAGG